UACGUAGGGUGCGAGCGUUGUCCGGAAUUAUUGGGCGUAAAGAGCUCGUAGGCGGCUUGUCACGUCGGAUGUGAAAGCCCGGGGCUUAACUCCGGGUCUGCAUUCGAUACGGGCUAGCUAGAGUGUGGUAGGGGAGAUCGGAAUUCCUGGUGUAGCGGUGAAAUGCGUAGAUAUCGGGAGGAACACCAGUGGCGAAGGCGACUACCUGGCCUGUUCUUGACGCUGAGGCGCGAAAGCUAGGGGAGCAAACGGG
rnacentral:rRNA from 1 species